rnacentral:rRNA from 1 species
UAGUCCACGCCGUAAACGAUGUCAACUAGCCGUCGGGCUCAUUAUAAGGGUUUGGUGGCGCAGCUAACGCGAUAAGUUGACCGCCUGGGGAGUACGCCGGCAACGGUAAAACUCAAAGGAAUUGACGGGGGCCCGCACAAGCGGUGGAGCAUGUGGUUUAAUUCGAUGCAACGCGAAGAACCUUACCUACCCUUGACAUCCUCAGAACUUGUUAGAGAUAACUUGGUGCCUUCGGGAAUUGAGUGACAGGUGCUGCAUGGCUGUCGUCAGCUCGUGUCGUGAGGUGUUGGGUUAAGUCCCGCAACGAGCGCAACCCUUGUCCCUAGUUGCCAGCACAUAAUGGUGGGAACUCUAGGGAGACUGCCGGUGACAAACCGGAGGAAGGUGGGGAUGACGUCAAGUCAUCAUGGCCUUUAUGCCCAGGGCUACACACGUGCUACAAUGGCCGGUACAGCGGGUCGCGAAGUCGCAAGGCGGAGCUAAUCCCUGUAAAGCCGGUCCCAGUUCGGAUUGGGGUCUGGAA